AAAAAGUUCCAAAGCCCAUUAUUAUGAUGGAUUGGUAUUACUUUCAAGUGCUUUAUGUAUGUAGGUCGCAAGGCUAAGUUGUAAAGCAUCUGCAUUUAGCUGCUGCUUAUAAUCCCGAGUAUAAUGAACUAUUGCAAUAAUGUGAAAACGACGACAUGAUUACAAGUGAGCUUAGCAGCAGCAGGAGAGGAGAUUACUAAUUUAUUUGUAAAGUGUACAAGACGAUGUUGUAAACUCAUCUGCUCGGGCCACGUUCCCAACAUAUUCAUAUCCCAUAAGUUUCCGGACUAUCAAGAUUGUAGAUCCUACAAUAUUCCCAGUCUCGAUCGAUCAACUCGUGAUAAGCAUUCUGGGGAAGUUUUGUUGUAAAAAGAAUGGUAAAGUAUUUUAUUCCUUUGUUUAGUGAAUUAUAUUAUACAUUGAAAUAA